rnacentral:misc_RNA from 1 species
GACUGGGUAAAGGUGGGGGAGGUCAGAGUAAAAUUGAGUUUCGGAAUGGCAAAUGAAACAGAGCAAAUGUUGCCUGCCGAAAGGUAUUGGUAAGGCGAUCACAUAGGAGGUUGGUAAAAUUCAGUCUGGUGUCUCCUAUCUAGUCACAAGGUACCAAUGAGUUAAAAGAGGCCUUAUUCAGGUCUCCGGCAACUUUGAAUGCCAGAACCCUUAGUCUUAGGCUUUUAUGAUGUGUAGAUGUAAUCAGAUUUCAAGAGGUCGGAAAAG